rnacentral:misc_RNA from 1 species
CAAUCCACGGCCGGUCGUUCCAGACCACGUGGAACUCCCGGCGACCGUCACGCAGCACUCGCCCUUCUUCCGAGGUCACCUUGCCUACCGUGCGCCCGGUGAGGCUCUCGAACGUCAGCGUGCCGCGCGAAUGCUCGAGCACGUUGCCGUGGUUGUCGACGCGGAACCGGAACACGGCUGGGCCGUGGCCGCGAAUCGACGUGGGCCCUCGCAGGUCGCGCAGGCGCAGGUCAUUGGUGAGGUGGCCAGGAACCGUCAACACGAGCUGCAUGGCCAGCGAUGACUUGAUCGCCGUCUGAACCACGUCGUCCUUGCCGCCCGACGCAAUGAUCGCCCCGUGGCUGGUGCCGACCUCCGGUCGAUCAGGUACGCGAAUCUGGAACGGCACGACAGCAGUUUGCCCCGGUGCGAGUUCCAAUCGGCGGUGGGAAUGUGCAGCCAGGGCUGGAUGCCGUACUUGCGUGUUUGACGAUUUGCAGGCCGUCGCGACCGCCAGAGGCAGGUUCAACGUCGACGCCCUGGAGGCUGAUGCCGAGCGCCUCCUUGCGUCGAUUGGAGAUCAGCACGCAUUGCUGGAUCACCUCCCCGGGGUCAACCUGCAGGUCAAUCACCGGCGGCGCAAUCACCAACGCACCCGUGCGAAGCAUCGAUUCACUGACCUGCGUGCGCUGCGGGCACGACGGGCCGGGGUCCACCCCACGCGGGAUGUACGCGUACGCGUACGCGGGCAGGCACCCGAGAACAGCCAGCGUCAGAGCCGCGACGCGCAGGAAUCGACCAGAGAUCACGCACGUAUCAUGCCCGUUGGGGCGGAUUGGGUUCGGGCGUCAGGCGUCGACGACGAGGAAGUCGGCAAUACCGGAGUAAAUUCCGGCCGCCAGGUUCGAGCCCUGCUCACGCACAGCCCACUGGAAGGUGCAGCUGUGCGUGGAGCCCAGCGUCACCGACGACACACACGCGUUCGUGUACGCCGUGGGCAUUGCCGGAAGUCGUCAUUGACGCCGGAGCCCGUUGCGGGACUGCACGCCGCGCCCCACGAGGCGGUCUCGAUGGCGCUGUUGUUGGCGACGGCCGUGAUCUUGACGCCCGCCUCGUCGCCUACGGCAGCCAUCGGGGCGCAGACGCUCACGGUGUUGGGGAUUGCCCCCUGGAAAGGCGCUGCGUUGCUGUCGCGCACCUGCAGGUACGUCGUGGCGUCAUUGCUCGCCCCAUAGCUCAUCACGCAGGUAUUGGGCGAAUAGGUGAUCGUGUUCAUCGACACGGUCCAGCCGAUGCUCGAUCCACAGCCGGACGUGAGCGACAGGUCAGCGGCUGCGGUAGCCGUGACGGUCACGGUGUCGCUGCUGGCCCCGAUCGCGGUGCCCGUUGGCCUGAGCCCCUCUGCUGCUGCGACGCCCAUGAGCACAAGCAGGAGCGCAGGCACCAGCGACCACGCCAACAGGCGGCUGGUCGAUCGGGACGUGUGUGUGUGCGGGAUUGUGGUGUUCAUACGACGUGUACGCGUGAAGGUAUCGGCACGCGCGUAGCUACUAUUGAGCCGAAAUCACGGAUCCGAAGGUUUCGAUGGGCCAUGCGGACCGCUCCCUGUGCGCGCGAGCCGCUUCCCACCCCCGUCACAACGGGUUGAUGCUGUCUCCACCCGCCUGGAGGCCCUUCCUAUAGGCCACGCGGUCUAUUUAUUUCACGAAACUUGAGAUUCACACUCAAGGAGAAUGACUUUGCGUUCGAUAUAGCUUCCAUGACACUUGCAUCACAACGCCCAUCACGCUGGACCGGCCGACUCUGGUUCGUUCCGAUCGUCGCACUCGUGCUCCUGACCCUGGUCGGUGCAUCUGGUGUCAUGCGUGAGCCGGCAACUGCCGCCACCACCACGUCAAACAUCAACGUGGACGCCACGCUGUCGUCGAGCCUGACGCUGACGACAGCCGCCUGUGGCGUGGCUGGCACGCUCGCCUACAACGUCUCCCUUGCGACGAUUUCGUAUUCGGGCAACUGCGUGCUGGACUUCGCGUCCACCAACGACUCGUCGAUCUUCCUUGGCGUGCACGACAACGACGCGGCUGCACCGUUCCAGGGUGCGAUUGGCAACACCGCCGCCGCGUGUACGGUUGCGCCGUCGAUGACGGUAGGUGGCACUGACGAAGCCGGCUGGCACAUCAUCAGCAAGGCAGCCAACACCAACCUCGACGCCGCCCAGGGCGCAGGCUGCCACCACGAUCGGCACCAACAACACCAACGACCGCUUCCGCCCGAUGCCGACGGCAUUCACCAAGAUCUGCGACUCAACCGUGAUCACCGCAACGCACAGCUGCACCCUGCAGUUCGGCGUCGAGGAGACCAACGCCGACGGCGCGCUGACGGCGGGCACCUACAGCGGCACCAUGGUCGUCACGCUCUCGGACACCUGAUCCGACUCGGAGCACGAUCCAAGCUUUGGCGGCGGGCCCUCUGUGCCCGCCGCUAUGCAUUUUCAGGGGGAGAAGGGCAGUCGAUCCCCCGGUGCGCUGUCGAUCGCUCAGGAAGGCGGUGUGGAACGCUCACGGG